rnacentral:rRNA from 1 species
GACGAACGCUGGCGGCGUGCUUAACACAUGCAAGUCGAGCGGUAAGGCCCUUCGGGGUACACGAGCGGCGAACGGGUGAGUAACACGUGAGCAAUCUGCCCUCCACAUCGGGAUAAACCCCCGGAACGGGAGCUAAUACCGGAUACGACCACUUCAGGCAUCUGAUGGUGGUGGAAAGUUCUGGCGGUGGAGGAUGAGCUCGCGGCCUAUCAGCUUGUUGGUGGGGUAAUGGGCCCACCAAGGCUUCGACGGGUAGCCGGCCUGAGAGGGUGACCGGCCAC